UCCCAGACUCCUACGGGAGGCAGCAGUGAGGAAUAUUGGUCAAUGGGCGGGAGCCUGAACCAGCCAAGUCGCGUGAGGGAUGACGGCCCUAUGGGUUGUAAACCUCUUUUGCCGGGGAGCAAAGUGCCGCACGUGUGCGGUUUGGAGAGUACCCGGAGAAAAAGCAUCGGCUAACUCCGUGCCAGCAGCCGCGGUAAUACGGAGGGUGCAAGCGUUGUCCGGAAUCAUUGGGCGUAAAGAGUUCGUAGGCGGUAUGUUAAGUCUGGUGUUAAAUGCAGAAGCUCAACUUCUGUUCGGCACUGGAUACUGGCAAACUAGAAUGCGGUAGAGGUAAAGGGAAUUCCUGGUGUAGCGGUGAAAUGCUUAGAUAUCAGGAGGAACAUCGGUGGCGUAAGCGCUUUACUGGGCCGUAAUUGACGCUGAGGAACGAAAGCCAGGGUAGCAAAUGGGAUUAGAUACCCGCGUC
rnacentral:rRNA from 1 species